UUCCCCACAACUGUGAUGCUUUAUCCUUUGACAUUAAGAAUGCUGUUUGCAGAAGUAACAUUCCUUUGAACACUCAGCUUUCUGAAAUGGUGUCCCACCACAAGGACUGGAGAAGGGUAAACCUCAGGUUCUCCUCCUGCCUUUUGCUAAGUAUAUGUCUUGAUGACAAGCCUUCUGCUAAUGAGCUGUGUUUCUGGACCGAUCAUGGUAGAAGUCAAUUGAAGUGUCCCUCACUUGGGGUUUCUUAAGGCUGCACUGAUGAGGAAACUGAAACAGAAAAUCCAGAGUAAAUUCCACCAGGCCACACAGCAAGGUCUGAUAGAGCCAGGAGAGACUUUAUGAAAUCCAGACUCUCACACUAAUGCUCUAUCAGCUAGACCUCCAUGUGAGUCUCCCCAAUGUAGGUAGGAAGCACUUUCCCUAAAAUGCUCAUAAAGCAAAUCAGAGCAAUG
rnacentral:lncRNA from 1 species